rnacentral:rRNA from 1 species
GACGAACGCUGGCGGCGUGCUUAACACAUGCAAGUCGAACGAAGUGGCGAACGGGUGAGUAACGCGUAAACAACCUGCCCUUCAGUGGGGGACAACAGUUGGAACCGACUGCUAAUACCGCAUACUGAAGGAGGGGAUGGCGUCUGAUUAGCUUGUUGGAGGGGUAACGGCCCACCAAGGCGAUGCUCAGUAGCCGGGCUGGGGGGAUGAACGGCCACAAUGGGACUGGGACACGGCCCAGACUCCUACGGGAGGCAGCAGUGGGGAAUCGUCCGCAAUGGACGAAAGUCUGACGGAGCAACGCCGCGUGAGUGAUGACGGCCUUCGGGUUGGAAAGCUCUGUUAAUCGGGACGCGGUACCGGAAUAGAAAGCCACGGCUAACUACGUGCCAGCAGCCGCGGUAAUAC